GGUCUGGAGUCUACUUUCCCAGUGCUGUACGGUGAAAGAGACGUGUCGCAAUGCUUGGAUUGAGUAUAAGCCACACUAAACGGCGGCCGUAACUAUGAUGGUCCUAAGA
rnacentral:rRNA from 12 species